rnacentral:rRNA from 1 species
CAGAGGGGGCAAGCGUUGCUCGGAAUUACUGGGCGUAAAGGGCGCGUAGGCGGAAUGGCAAGUCGGUCGUGAAAUCCUUCGGCUCAACCGAAGAACGUCGAUCGAAACUGCCGUUCUUGAGGAUUGCAGAGGAGACUGGAAUUCCCGGUGUAGCGGUGAAAUGUGUAGAGAUCGGGAGGAACACCGGUGGCGAAGGCGGGUCUCUGGGCAAUUCCUGACGCUGAGGCGCGAAAGCGUGGGGAGCAAACGGGAUUAGAUACCCCGGUAGUCCACGCUGUAAACGAUGACGACUAGGUGUGGGGGGGUUCAGUCCCUUCCGUGCCGCAGCUAACGCAUUAAGUCGUCCGCCUGGGGAGUACGGCCGCAAGGUUG